ACAAAUAAAAACAAACAAAAGAAAUAAAAAAUUCCCAGAGUAACAAAGCAGGAAAUAAUAAUUCUAUAAUCCAAAAAACACUGGGUGAUCCUUCAGUUGGAGAGAGGAGGAGUCAGUUAAGUAGCUCACACAGUAGAUAUGGACAAACCAGAGUUGAGGUUGGUUGAUGUGGCUUCUAGGAGUUAAGUUCUCCACCUAAGGCAAUUAAGGGAUAAUUAAUUGUUCUUGAGGGAUAAUUAGUCAUCUUGAAAAAAGGAAAAAGUUUGAUUGGGAGAAGGCACCUAGGGAGGGAGGAUGGUGCAUCACUUAAUAUUAAAUUGCCUCCCUACACUAUGUGGCUGAGUGUCAUGGACCUUCCUCCCUCUCUGCGCCUUUGAACUCCCACUGUUAGCAAAGCUGGAAAGCACACACUUGUAUCUCAUUCUUACAGGCAUGUGUACUACCCCUCAGGGUCCAUAGCUGUUCAGUAUGGCAAAGGGCAGACUUGCUUUCUCUUCCACUUUGCUGCCUUGAUGAGGUUAACAUACUGGAAUGAAAGAGGAGGGCAGGACAUCUGCCAAAGUGCAAGGAAUAAGAGUUAUUGAAACAAUUGGGAAAAGGAUUGACACUUCAGGAAGCUGACCUCGAAGUUGACCUCGAACUGUUCACUGGUAUUUAAUCUGAUGCUUCCCUCAAGUCCUGAAUACUCUUUCUGGAAGCAGAGAGGUGAGGCCAAGAGUUGUUCUGGCUCCUCCAGGCCACCCCUCCCCCCCCCCAGGGCCCAUCAGGUAAGUGCCUGCAGAAGCUAGAGGCAAGUCCCAGCUCUCUUGUAUAGCUGAUGUAUGCCCUGAGACAUACUCCAUUUGUAGGAUUCUCCUGUGCUCCAAUUCACCAAAUUCUGCUGAUGGCUCAGAGCAGGGUAAAGCUUCUCCUAGAUAAUCCCUCCCCCAAAAUUGAGUCCUCGGGGACAGUUAUUUAUUGAAUAACCUCCAGGUUAUCUACUUUGGGAAAUGCAGAAAUGCUAUAAACUGAAUUUUUUUCCAGCAGUGGCAGAAGCCAGACACCUUGAAGUCAAUUGUCCUUCAUUCUCCAGAGUUCCCAAGUGGCAUUUCAGAGCACAGGAAUUCACUCUUCCACCCAGAUAUUCCUCUCACACUGAGUCACGCACCCCAGUUUCUAGCAGCAGAUAUCUUGAAGCCAACCACCCUAAUGAAAAAUGCGGGUUUCCACACCAGUUUUCCACACCAGCUCUCCAACCAUUAAGAGUACACAUGCCCCCAUGGCACACUUGGGUUAUCACAAUAAAAAUACGUUUAUAUAAAGUAAAAAACAUAAUGUGGAGCAAAUAUAUACAUAUACAUGUACAUUGUUAGAGUUCAAGUGAAUAUACAGUUUUUAAGUGUGUAAAUAAAUUUCAUAGCACUACAAAAAUACAAGUCAUCUGAGAGACGUUUACAGUGGUCCCCAAAACUAUAGGAGAGAAUAAAAUAAAAUAGCUAUAGGUAAUUAAAAGCUAAUUAGAUAAAUCAAGUCACAGUUUCAUCCUUCAGAUUAAGGUGCUCCAAUAUAAUCCAUACCACAGCAAACAAAAUCCUGAAGAAUUCUGCUGCCAAUCAUCUUGCCUCUUAACCUCAAUAUAACAAGAACAUACAUAAAAGAGAUUACCGAUUUAGUAAAUGCUAUCAUCUCAUACCCCAUUCACACCACUGGCCUGUGAUAUUCUUCCCCUGGGAGAGAUGUCAAGAUUUAAUGAGAUUCUAUCAUAACCUGUAGAAAAAAUGAGCAACAUGGAAACAUUCCAAUUCCAGUCUUAGGUGAGUUCCAAUGAAAUUACCUGAAGAACUGAACUAGUGCUUUUAGUUAAGGGGAAAAGUGCCCUAGCUUUUAAAAAAUAUGUCUAUAAAUCUAGUUUUAAAAACAUAGCAAUUGGCUGCAUGUGGUGGCUCAUGCCUAUAAUCUCAGCAUUUUGAGAGGCCGAGGUGAGAGGACUGCUUAAACCCAGGAGUUCAAGACCAGCCUGAACAAAAUAGGGAGACCCCCAUCUCUACAAAAAUAAUUUUAAAAAGCUGGGCAUGGUGGCAUAUACCUGUGGUUCCAGGUACCUGGAGGGCUGACGUAGGAGGAUUGCCUGAGCCCAGCAGGCCAAAGCUACAGUGAGCUGUGAUUGUGCCACUGCACUCCAGCCUGGGCGAGGAGAGCAAGACUCUGUCUCAAAAAUAAAUACAUAAAAUACAGCGUCCAAAAGUGUGUCAUCUUCUUUCUCUUCACAAUUUUAUAAUAAGGGGGUAAAAUGCCUGUGAGUCUAUUCAUUAUGGAAAAUAAAAAAGAAACAACCAUUUAAGGCUGAGGCAUUUUGGUUUUCUGCUGGCUUUUAGAUUAUUAACUGCAUUAAGCCCCUCACUACAACUUCACCAGUAUCCUAGAAACAAUUUGGGUUUCCUUUUAGGCAGGGACAGGAAGUAUUCAAAGGACAGACAUAUGGACAGAGUUAGGCCCUUCAGGGUUGAAGUCUGUGGUUUCUUGUGUCUCAAGACUCAAUGUCUUGAGAAGUUGGUGGACCCUGUCCUCCAUCCAAGAAGUGCUGCCAAGGAAACCAGGGGACCUAGCAAAGAGUCAGGAGAAAAUGGCCAAAGGAAUUCUGACAUUCCAUACCUGAAUGAACUGUUUUCGUGAGUGCUUUGAUCACCCUAUCCCCUAUCAAGGCGCUGAACAGGUGGCCCGCAGGAAAUCUGCUGUCGCAAGAGGAGGGCUUUGACUUACUUCCCCUAAUUGUUGAGUAAAAAGUGAUUCUCUUAAUUUCUGUAUUCUGUUUUUCAUAUCACCAGUAGAAGGGUCCUGUGGAUCUAAAUAGAGCACAUUUUAAGGCUACAGAGUAGUAGAAAUUGAUGUUUAGACAAGGCAGCUUGUUCAAAAUCUGAAAGGCACACCCAGAAGCUUUCUCUAAACAUUUUGGCUCCCAUUAAAAAAAAAAAAAAAACAAAAAACAAAAACAAAAA
rnacentral:lncRNA from 1 species